CUGAAUGCACUGGAUACUGAAGUCCUCUCUUUGUCCACAGAACAGGUCGGCUGCAGUGCAAGCUUCCCCACACACGGCCCAGCCAACAUGUAUGAGCCCUGCCCUGAUGAAUGCUCCCUGGGUGAGAGAGUGGUUCAGUCAACCCCAUCCAUCCCAUUCUUGC
rnacentral:sRNA from 1 species